rnacentral:rRNA from 1 species
AACGAACGCUGGCGGCGUGCCUAAUACAUGCAAGUAGAACGCUGAAGGAGGUGCUUGCUUCUCCGGAUGAGUUGCGAACGGGUGAGUAACGCGUAGGUAACCUGCCUGGUAGCGGGGGAUAACUAUUGGAAACGAUAGCUAAUACCGCAUAAGAGUAGAUGUUGCAUGACAUUUGCUUAAAAGGUGCAAUUGCAUCACUACCAGAUGGACCUGGGUUGUAUUAGCUAGUUGGUGGGGUAACGGCUCACUAAGGCGAAGAUACAUAGCCGACCUGAGAGGGUGAUCGGCCACACUGGGACUGAGACACGGCCCAGACUCCUACGGGAGGCAGCAGUAGGGAAUCUUCGGCAAUGGACGGAAGUCUGACCGAGCAACGCCGCGUGAGUGAAGAAGGUUUUCGGAUCGUAAAGCUCUGUUGUAAGAGAAGAACGAGUGUGAGAGUGGAAAGUUCACACUGUAACGGUAUCUUACCAGAAAGGGACGGCUAACUACGUGCCAGCCGCCGCCGUAA